rnacentral:rRNA from 1 species
UACGAAGGGGGCUAGCGUUGUUCGGAAUUACUGGGCGUAAAGCGUGCGCAGGCGGUCUCUCAAGUCAGGGGCGAAAGCCCAGAGCUCAACUCUGGAACUGCCCUUGAAACUGUGAGGCUCGAGUACGGGAGAGGUGAGUGGAAUUCCCAGUGUAGAGGUGAAAUUCGUAGAUAUUGGGAAGAACACCGGUGGCGAAGGCGGCUCACUGGCCCGUUUCUGACGCUCAUGCACGAUAGCGUGGGGAUCAAACAGG